GGCUCCGUAGUUCAACUGGAUAGAAUAUCAGAUUUCGGCUCUGAGGGUUGGGGGUUCGAAUCCCUCCGGGGUCACUA
rnacentral:tRNA from 1 species